GCCACUCCUCUCAUAUUAGCAGCUUAUAAUGGACACACACAGGUAGUGACAAUGCUCCUUGAAAAAGGAGCAGAUGUCACUGCCUCUAAUGAUUAUGGUAGGACUGCUUUUGAUAUUGCUGAACAACGAGGUCAUAGUGAUACUGCCACAAUACUGAGAGUACACUCAG